UACAGAGGGUGCGAGCGUUAAUCGGAUUUACUGGGCGUAAAGGGCGCGUAGGCGGUCGUGUGAGUGUGAUGUGAAAGCCCCGGGCUUAACCUGGGAAGUGCAUCGCAAACGACACGACUGGAGUAUAAGAGAGGGUGGCGGAAUUUCCGGUGUAGCGGUGAAAUGCGUAGAGAUCGGAAGGAACGUCAAUGGCGAAGGCAGCCACCUGGCUUAAUACUGACGCUGAGGCGCGAAAGGCGUGGGGAUCAAAACAGG
rnacentral:rRNA from 1 species